rnacentral:rRNA from 1 species
GAUGAACGCUGGCGGCGUGCCUAAUACAUGCAAGUCGAGCGAACAGACGAGGAGCUUGCUCCUCUGACGUUAGCGGCGGACGGGUGAGUAACACGUGGAUAACCUACCUAUAAGACUGGGAUAACUUCGGGAAACCGGAGCUAAUGCCGGAUAAUAUAUUGAACCGCAUGGUUCAAUAGUGAAAGACGGUUUUGCUGACACUUAUAGAUGGAUCCGCGCCGCAUUAGCUAGUUGGUAAGGUAACGGCUUACCAAGGCAACGAUGCGUAGCCGACCUGAGAGGGUGAUCGGCCACACUGGAACUGAGACACGGUCCAGACUCCUACGGGAGGCAGCAGUAGGGAAUCUUCCGCAAUGGGCGAAAGCCUGACGGAGCAACGCCGCGUGAGUGAUGAAGGUCUUCGGAUCGUAAAACUCUGUUAUUAGGGAAGAACAAAUGUGUAAGUAACUAUGCACGUCUUGACGGUACCUAAUCAGAAAGCCACGGCUAACUACGUG